AUUGAACGCUGGCGGCAGGCUUAACACAUGCAAGUCGAGCGGAGAUGAGGUGCUUGCACCUUAUCUUAGCGGCGGACGGGUGAGUAAUGCUUAGGAAUCUGCCUAUUAGUGGGGGACAACAUUCCGAAAGGAAUGCUAAUACCGCAUACGCCCUACGGGGGAACGCAGGGGAUCUUCGGACCUUGCGCUCAUAGAUGAGCCUAAGUCGGAUUAGCUAGUUGGUGGGGUAAAGGCCUACCAAGGCGACGAUCUGUAGCGGGUCUGAGAGGAUGAUCCGCCACACUGGGACUGAGACACGGCCCAGACUCCUACGGGAGGCAGCAGUGGGGAAUAUUGGACAAUGGGCGGAAGCCUGAUCCAGCCAUGCCGCGUGUGUGAAGAAGGCCUUUUGGUUGUAAAGCACUUUAAGCGAGGAGGAGGCUACCUGGAUUAAUACUCUAGGAUAGUGGACGUUACUCGCAGAAUAAGCACCGGCUAACUCUGUGCCAGCAGCCGCCGUAAAAC
rnacentral:rRNA from 1 species